UACGUAGGGGGCAAGCGUUGUCCGGAUUUAUUGGGCGUAAAGCGCGUGUAGGCGGCCACACAGGUCCGUUGUGAAAACUCGAGGCUUAACCUCGAGACGUCGAUGGAAACCGUAUGGCUAGAGUCCGGAAGAGGAGAGUGGAAUUCCUGGUGUAGCGGUGAAAUGCGCAGAUAUCAGGAAGAACACCCGUGGCGAAGGCGGCUCUCUGGGACGGUACUGACGCUGGGACGCGAAAGCGUGGGGAGCGAACAGG
rnacentral:rRNA from 1 species